rnacentral:rRNA from 1 species
UACGGAGGUUGCAAGCGUUAUCCGGAUUUAUUGGGUUUAAAGGGUGCGUAGGCGGGAUAAUAAGUCAGUGGUGAAAACCUGCAGCUUAACUGUAGAACUGCCAUUGAUACUGUUAUUCUUGAGUCUAAUUGAAGUGGGCGGAAUGUGUAAUGUAGCGGUGAAAUGCUUAGAGAUUACACAGAACACCGAUUGCGUAGGCAGCUCACUAAGUUAAAACUGACGCUGAGGCACGAAAGCGUGGGGAGCAAACAGG